UGAGGAAUAUUGGACAAUGGAGGCAACUCUGAUCCAGCCAUGCCGCGUGAAGGAAGGAGGCCCUAUGGGUCGUGAACUUCUUUUGCCGCAGAGCAAUGAGGGCCACGGGUGGCCCGACGAGAGUAUGCGGCGAAUAAGCAUCGGCUAACUCCGUGCCAGCAGCCGCGGUAAUACGGGGGAUGCGAGCGUUAUCCGGAUUUAUUGGGUUUAAAGGGUGCGUAGGCGGCGCUUCAAGUCUGCGGUGAAACCCCGGGGCUCAACCCCGGGCCUGCCGCGGAUACUGGGGCGCUGGAGUUCGGAUGCCGCGGGAGGAAUGAGUGGUGUAGCGGUGAAAUGCAUAGAUAUCACUCAGAACACCGAUUGCGAAGGCAUCUCGCGAAUCCGACACUGACGCUGAGGC
rnacentral:rRNA from 1 species